rnacentral:rRNA from 1 species
UAAUUAAGCGGAGGAAAAGAAACUAACUAGGAUUGGUCCAGUAACGGCGAGUGAAGCGCCAUUAGCCCAGCAUGUGAAUCGGCACUUGUGUCGAAUUGUGGUAUGCAGGUCAUUUUGUUCAGCGGGUGGAUGAAGUCCCCUGGAACGGGGCAGCGCAGAGGGUGAUACUCCCGUCCGUCCACAUGCGUGAGAAGUGGCUGUAGAGUCGAGUUGUUUGGGAUUGCAGCUCCAAUUGGGUGGUAAAUUCCAUCCAAGGCUAAAUACUGGUGAGAGACCGAUAGCGUACAAGUACCGUGAGGGAAAGAUGCAAAGCCGCGCGAGAGCGCUGUCAAAGAGUACCUGAAAUUGCUGAAAAGGAAGCGAAGGAAACCAGUGCAAACCAUCCUGCAUUUCCCUGGUUGCUUGCAAUCAGGGCGCUGCGGCUGGUGUUGUCCUCUUCAGUGGUCUGCAGUGGAAGCUAAGGGCACUGUGAGUUGCUGAUGGGGACUAAAUGGUUUUCUUUUUCCCG